AAUAGAUACCCGGGUAGUCCACGCCGUAAACGAUGAGUGCUAAGUGUUAGAGGGUUUCCGCCCUUUAGUGCUGCAGCUAACGCAUUAAGCACUCCGCCUGGGGAGUACGGCCGCAAGGCUGAAACUCAAAGGAAUUGACGGGGGCCCGCACAAGCGGUGGAGCAUGUGGUUUAAUUCGAAGCAACGCGAAGAACCUUACCAGGUCUUGACAUCCUCUGACAACCCUAGAGAUAGGGCUUUCCCCUUCGGGGGACAGAGUGGCAGGUGGUGCAUGGUUGUCGUCAGCUCGUGUCGUGAGAUGUUGGGUUAAGUCCCGCAACGAGCGCAACCCUUGAUCUUAGUUGCCAGCAUUCAGUUGGGCACUCUAAGGUGACUGCCGGUGACAAACCGGAGGAAGGUGGGGAUGACGUCAAAUCAUCAUGCCCCUUAUGACCUGGGCUACGACACGUGCUACAAUGGAUGGGUACAAAGGGCUGCAAACCUGCGAGGGUAAGCGAAUCCCAUAAAGCCAUUCUCAGUUCGGAUUGCAGG
rnacentral:rRNA from 1 species